AAACCCAGUGUGUUUCGACACACUAUCAUUAACUGAAUCCAUAGGUUAAUGAGGCGAACCGGGGGAACUGAAACAUCUAAGUACCCCGAGGAAAAGAAAUCAACCGAGAUUCCCCCAGUAGCGGCGAGCGAACGGGGAGGAGCCCAGAGCCUGAAUCAGUGUGUGUGUUAGUGGAAGCGUCUGGAAAGGCGCGCGAUACAGGGUGACAGCCCCGUACACAAAAAUGCACAUAUUGUGAGCUCGAUGAGUAGGGCGGGACACGUGGUAUCCUGUCUGAAUAUGGGGGGACCAUCCUCCAAGGCUAAAUACUCCUGACUGACCGAUAGUGAACCAGUACCGUGAGGGAAAGGCGAAAAGAACCCCGGCGAGGGGAGUGAAAAAGAACCUGAAACCGUGUACGUACAAGCAGUGGGAGCCUCUUAAUGGGGUGACUGCGUACCUUUUGUAUAAUGGGUCAGCGACUUAUAUUCUGUAGCAAGGUUAACCGAAUAGGGGAGCCGAAGGGAAACCGAGUCUUAACUGGGCGUUAAGUUGCAGGGUAUAGACCCGAAACCCGGUGAUCUAGCCAUGGGCAGGUUGAAGGUUGGGUAACACUAACUGGAGGACCGAACCGACUAAUGUUGAAAAAUUAGCGGAUGACUUGUGGCUGGGGGUGAAAGGCCAAUCAAACCGGGAGAUAGCUGGUUCUCCCCGAAAGCUAUUUAGGUAGCGCCUCGUGAAUUCAUCUCCGGGGGUAGAGCACUGUUUCGGCAAGGGGGUCAUCCCGACUUACCAACCCGAUGCAAACUGCGAAUACCGGAGAAUGUUAUCACGGGAGACACACGGCGGGUGCUAACGUCCGUCGUGAAGAGGGAAACAACCCAGACCGCCAGCUAAGGUCCCAAAGUCAUGGUUAAGUGGGAAACGAUGUGGGAAGGCCCAGACAGCCAGGAUGUUGGCUUAGAAGCAGCCAUCAUUUAAAGAAAGCGUAAUAGCUCACUGGUCGAGUCGGCCUGCGCGGAAGAUGUAACGGGGCUAAACCAUGCACCGAAGCUGCGGCAGCGACGCUUAUGCGUUGUUGGGUAGGGGAGCGUUCUGUAAGCCUGCGAAGGUGUGCUGUGAGGCAUGCUGGAGGUAUCAGAAGUGCGAAUGCUGACAUAAGUAACGAUAAAGCGGGUGAAAAGCCCGCUCGCCGGAAGACCAAGGGUUCCUGUCCAACGUUAAUCGGGGCAGGGUGAGUCGACCCCUAAGGCGAGGCCGAAAGGCGUAGUCGAUGGGAAACAGGUUAAUAUUCCUGUACUUGGUGUUACUGCGAAGGGGGGACGGAGAAGGCUAUGUUGGCCGGGCGACGGUUGUCCCGGUUUAAGCGUGUAGGCUGGUUUUCCAGGCAAAUCCGGAAAAUCAAGGCUGAGGCGUGAUGACGAGGCACUACGGUGCUGAAGCAACAAAUGCCCUGCUUCCAGGAAAAGCCUCUAAGCAUCAGGUAACAUCAAAUCGUACCCCAAACCGACACAGGUGGUCAGGUAGAGAAUACCAAGGCGCUUGAGAGAACUCGGGUGAAGGAACUAGGCAAAAUGGUGCCGUAACUUCGGGAGAAGGCACGCUGAUAUGUAGGUGAAGCGACUUGCUCGUGGAGCUGAAAUCAGUCGAAGAUACCAGCUGGCUGCAACUGUUUAUUAAAAACACAGCACUGUGCAAACACGAAAGUGGACGUAUACGGUGUGACGCCUGCCCGGUGCCGGAAGGUUAAUUGAUGGGGUUAGCGGUAACGCGAAGCUCUUGAUCGAAGCCCCGGUAAACGGCGGCCGUAACUAUAACGGUCCUAAGGUAGCGAAAUUCCUUGUCGGGUAAGUUCCGACCUGCACGAAUGGCGUAAUGAUGGCCAGGCUGUCUCCACCCGAGACUCAGUGAAAUUGAACUCGCUGUGAAGAUGCAGUGUACCCGCGGCAAGACGGAAAGACCCCGUGAACCUUUACUAUAGCUUGACACUGAACAUUGAGCCUUGAUGUGUAGGAUAGGUGGGAGGCUUUGAAGUGUGGACGCCAGUCUGCAUGGAGCCGACCUUGAAAUACCACCCUUUAAUGUUUGAUGUUCUAACGUUGGCCCGUAAUCCGGGUUGCGGACAGUGUCUGGUGGGUAGUUUGACUGGGGCGGUCUCCUCCUAAAGAGUAACGGAGGAGCACGAAGGUUGGCUAAUCCUGGUCGGACAUCAGGAGGUUAGUGCAAUGGCAUAAGCCAGCUUGACUGCGAGCGUGACGGCGCGAGCAGGUGCGAAAGCAGGUCAUAGUGAUCCGGUGGUUCUGAAUGGAAGGGCCAUCGCUCAACGGAUAAAAGGUACUCCGGGGAUAACAGGCUGAUACCGCCCAAGAGUUCAUAUCGACGGCGGUGUUUGGCACCUCGAUGUCGGCUCAUCACAUCCUGGGGCUGAAGUAGGUCCCAAGGGUAUGGCUGUUCGCCAUUUAAAGUGGUACGCGAGCUGGGUUUAGAACGUCGUGAGACAGUUCGGUCCCUAUCUGCCGUGGGCGCUGGAGAACUGAGGGGGGCUGCUCCUAGUACGAGAGGACCGGAGUGGACGCAUCACUGGUGUUCGGGUUGUCAUGCCAAUGGCACUGCCCGGUAGCUAAAUGCGGAAGAGAUAAGUGCUGAAAGCAUCUAAGCACGAAACUUGCCCCGAGAUGAGUUCUCCCUGAGACUUUAAGUCUCCUGAAGGAACGUUGAAGACGACGACGUUGAUAGGCCGGGUGUGUAAGCGCAGCGAUGCGUUGAGCUAACCGGUACUAAUGAACCGUGAGG
rnacentral:rRNA from 1 species